GAGCCGUGAGCGUCUCCAAGAUUUUAUCCGUAUUGCGUUCAUGUAUUUCUACCUUUGAUGUUUCCUAUGCAAAUAUUGAGAUGACUUCCACCUACUUAUCUUACUGCUGAGAGCCUGCAGAGAACAGUGGACUGACAGAGUUAAACAAGAUGGACUCUAAGACAGUGCUGCUAAUUCUGACUCUCUACUGUGCAGGUGUAAAUUGUCAGACUCUGACAGAAUCUGAACCAGUGGAUAAAAGGCCUGGAGAAUCCCAUAAAUUGACCUGCACAACCUCUGGAUUCACAUUCAGCAGCUACAGUAUGGAUUGGAUCAGACAGGCACCGGGCAAAGGGCUGGAGUGGAUUGCUCACAUCUGGGGCAGUGGUAGCAACACUUACUACUCUCAGUCAUUCAGAGGCCGGUUUACCAUCUCCAGAGACAACAGCAGACAGCAGCUGUAUCUGCAGAUGAACAAUCUGAAGACUGAAGAUUCUGCUGUUUAUUAUUGUGCUCGAGAGCCACAGUGACUGAAAGUGUUU